rnacentral:rRNA from 1 species
UACGCAGGGGGCUAGCGUUGCUCGGAAUCACUGGGCGUAAAGCGCACGUAGGCGGAUCGUUAAGUCGGGGGUGAAAUCCUGGAGCUCAACUCCAGAACUGCCUUCGAUACUGGCGAUCUCGAGUCCGGAAGAGGUGAGUGGAACUCCUAGUGUAGAGGUGGAAUUCGUAGAUAUUAGGAAGAACACCAGUGGCGAAGGCGACUCACUGGUCCGGUACUGACGCUGAGGUGCGAAAGCGUGGGGAGCAAACAGG